UACGUAGGGUGCAAGCGUUGUUCGGAAUUACUGGGCGUAAAGGGCGCGUAGGCGGGUUUAUAAGUCGAUUGUGAAAGCCCAGGGCUUAACCUUGGAAUUGCAGUCGAAACUAUAAGUCUUGAAUGUCUGAGAGGGUGGGAGAAUUCCUGGUGUAGUAGUGAAAUACGUAGAUAUCAGGAGGAAUACCGGAGGCGUAGGCGCCUACCUGGCAGUACAUUGACGCUGAGGCGCGAAAGCGUGGGGAGCAAACAGG
rnacentral:misc_RNA from 1 species